CCUACGGGUGGCAGCAGUGGGGAAUAUUGCGCAAUGGGCGAAAGCCUGACGCAGCGACGCCGCGUGAGGGAUGAAGGUCUUCGGAUCGUAAACCUCUGUCAGCAGGGAAGAACGGUCACUGUGCUAAUCAGCAGUGAAUUGACGGUACCUGCAAAGGAAGCACCGGCUAACUCCGUGCCAGCAGCCGCGGUAAUACGGAGGGUGCGAGCGUUAAUCGGAAUUACUGGGCGUAAAGCGCUCGUAGGCGGCAUAUUAAGUUAUGUGUGAAAGCCCGCGGCUCAACCGCGGAAUUGCACAUAAAACUGGUAAGCUGGAGUGCAGGAGAGGUAAGUGGAAUUCCCGGUGUAGCGGUGGAAUGCGUAGAUAUCGGGAGGAACACCAGAGGCGAAGGCGACUUACUGGACUGUAACUGACGCUGAGGCUCGAAAGCGUGGGGAGCAAACAGGAUUAGAUACCCCUGUAGUC
rnacentral:rRNA from 1 species